CCCGCUCAGAAACUACGAAAGGAAGUUGACGGGGGCCCGCACAAGCGGUGGAGCAUGUGGUUUAAUUCGAUGAUACGCGAGGAACCUUACCUGGGCUCAAAUGUAUGUUGACGUAUUCUGAAAGGGAUACUUCUUCGGACAAUAUACAAGGUGCUGCAUGGUUGUCGUCAGCUCGUGCCGUGAGGUGUCGGGUUAAGUCCCAUAACGAGCGCAACCCCUAUCAUUAGUUGCCAUCAGGUCAAGCUGGGGACUCUAAUGAAACUGCCUACGCAAGUAGUGAGGAAGGUGGGGAUGACGUCAAAUCAGCACGGCCCUUACGUCCAGGGCUACACACGUGCUACAAUGGCCGGUACAAAGGGCAGCUACCUGGUGACAGGAUGCUAAUCUCAAAAGCCGGUCUCAGUUCGGAUCGGAGUCUGCAACCCGACUCCGUGAAGCUGGAAUCGCUGGUAAUCGCGCAUCAGCCAUGGCGCGGUGAAUACGUUCCCGGGCCUU
rnacentral:rRNA from 1 species